rnacentral:rRNA from 1 species
GACGAACGCUGGCGGCGUGCUUAACACAUGCAAGUCGAACGCUGAAGACCUGGCUUUUGUUGGGUUGGAUGAGUGGCGAACGGGUGAGUAACACGUGUGUCACCUGCCCUCUUCUUUGGGAUAACGCCCGGAAACGGGUGCUAAUACUGGAUAUUCACUGAUCUUCGCAUGGGGGUUGGUGGAAAGGUUUGUUCUGGUGGGGGAUGGGCUCGCGGCCUCUCAGCUUGUUGGUGGGGUCUUGGCCUACCAUGGCCUUGACGGGUAGCCGGCCUGGGAGGGUGACCGGUCACGUUGGGACUGAGAUACGGCACAGACUCCUACGGGAGACAGCAGUGGGGAAUAUUGCACAGUGGGCUAGAGCCAGAUGCAGCGGCGCCGCGUGGGGGAGGGAGGCCUUCGGGUUGUAAACCUCUUUCGCUCAUGGUCAAGCCGCAACUGUGGGUUGUGGUGAGGGUAGUGGGUAAAGAAGCGCCGGCUAACUACGUG